rnacentral:rRNA from 1 species
UGGGGAAUAUUGCACAAUGGGCGAAAGCCUGAUGCAGCGACGCCGCGUGAGGGAUGACGGCCUUCGGGUUGUAAACCUCUUUCAGUAGGGACGAAGCGCAAGUGACGGUACCUGCAGAAGAAGCACCGGCUAACUACGUGCCAGCAGCCGCGGUAAUGCGUAGGGUGCGAGCGUUGUCCGGAAUUACUGGGCGUAAAGAGCUCGUAGGCGGUUUGUCACGUCGUCUGUGAAAUCCUAGGGCUUAACCCUGGACGUGCAGGCGAUACGGGCUGACUUGAGUACUACAGGGGAGACUGGAAUUUCUGGUGUAGCGGUGGAAUGCACAGAUAUCAGGAAGAACACCGAUGGCGAAGGCAGGUCUCUGGGUAGUAACUGACGCUGAGGAGCGAAAGCAUGGGUAGCGAACAGG